AGGCCAGCUUCAGGCACUCCUGCAGCGAGGAAUAAAGGCCCAAGGCCAAGUGGGAGGUAAGAGGCCUGGUAGGUAGUGAGCGGCUACUCUGCGUCAGGACCUGCCCUGGGGUCUGGGACGAUGCUGCAGAGGUGAUGCCACGGCUAGCCACGGAUAUCUGUGAGGAGUAACCCAUGCGCUUCCUCGCAUCAGUGAACACUGCUCAGGGAGUGUAGAAGGAGGGCGGGGGAGCUGAGCCCACCUACCAGCUCAUCACGCAUCCUACACACUCACUCAUCCGGAUUCGCAUUUUUCUCUGCAUUUUACUAAUUUAAUCCUCACUGCAGUGUUUCGCUGUUGGGUACAUCUCCAUCACGGACUUCAGCACGGCCUACACUUCUAGGAUUUACCGGGACCGCAAGGUCCCAUGCGCCCCCUCUCCUGGGAGAUGCUCUAGGAUUUGGGAUAAAAGUCAGACCUCACCGGUUUAUACCCCUCCUCGGCCCCGAAGCCUUCUCACUCUCCCUCUUCGUGUUGGGCCCAGUGCCAGGGAGACGCAGCCCCGCUGUUCCUGGAGAGUCUGGAUCAAAACCAGGGUGGGAGUCACCUCUUCUUCUAGCAAUGACUCCCCUCCCAGGCUUAAAAGCAUCAUCUAAAUUAAGCCGGAGGGGAGGGGCCAUCUGCUACUACAUUCUGUGUGUGGUCCCCUGCUGAAGCAUUUCCAGGAUCACUGAACUCCUGGGUGACAACAGGGACAGGACACCCCUGGCUUCACCUGAGGUGCUGGUGCUCUCACACAGGUAGGUCUUUGAAUCUAAGCAGUCAGCCCGCUAACCCUCACAGCCUCCCUGUCUCAUGGGAGCAUCUAUACAAACAGGGGUCCCUCCUGACCCUCCCACUCACUCCUCAGGAUUCAACACAUCUAGCUAGGCCUCCCUACCUUGGAUCCUCUGAAAUAGCAGAAUAAAUAUAAAAACACAUACUUAGAAGCCUGGAAAAUUAGAAAAUGUGCCAUCAGCAGAACAGAACAUGAGGGAAUUUCCAAGAGAGAAAGAAGCUGAGAUCAGAUUAAUGAUGAAACUCAAUAUCCAUUGCUGAGGAGCCGGCAAAGCUGGAGCCUUAUCUGGAAGUGAGGACCAGGUUUGCCCCCCAGAAUAAAGUCAGGGUGUAGCUGUAAAACAAGACAGAGAGCCGCAAGUGAUUGCUCCAUAGAAAUCAAAGCAAGGGCUCUGCCCAGCAACUGCAGCCAAAAUGAAGAGAGAGUGUCCCCAAAGCAGAGCCCAUGAAGGUGCUUGCCCUGGCUCAUCCCGCCUGUCUCCAUGUGCCUGGGGUUAGGGGUGCAGGGUUGCCAUGAUCAAUCAAAGUGGACAGUCCCUUCAGAAGGAAGGUUUACUUGUGUUACACAGCAAGAGUGAUCCGUCAAGACCACUGUUCCCAAGGAUGCUACACUCAGGACCCCCUUGCCAUCUAAAAAAUGCUUAAGGGCCCCACAGAGCUUUGAUUUCUAUGGAGCAAACCUACUGAUACAUAAUAGAAGUGAAAAAGAAGAAACAAAUUUUAAUAUUUAUACAUUUAUUUUAAAAUGAUAAAGCAUCACGUAAACAAAAAUAAUAUUUCUGAAAAUAGCUAUUUUUUUCUAAAAAUUGUUUAUUUAGUGAGAAGAGUGACAUUGUUUUAUAUUUUUAUAAAUCUCACCAAUGUCUGGCUUAAUAGACAGCUGCAUUUUCAUAUUUGCUUCUGAUUGCAAUCUGUUAUGAUAUCACACAUCAUGUAGACUCUGGAAAACUCUGCUGAGCACUCAUGAAAGAAAAAUGUCUUUGUAUUCCUAUUAGGUAGUUUUGAGUUUGUGGGUUCCUCUGAAAGAGUCUUAGGAACCCCCAGGGUCCAAGAGCCACACUUGAGAACCACUGUCCUGAGAUUCAUUUACAAAUGGGAUCAGACAAUCAAGAAUCCCUGUGUAUUUGAAAGAAAUCAACUGCUUGCUAAAGAAAUCAGACAAAGAGCUUCCAUUCUGGUUCAGUGGGUUAAGAAUCUGGCGUUGCUGCAGCUGUGGUUUGGUUUCAAUCCCUGGCCUGGGAACUUCCAUAUGCUGCAGGUACAACCAUAAAAAAAAGAGAAGGUGAAGGAAAAGAAGAGCCAGACAGACCCUGAAGAAAACAGGGUAAUGCAGGAACCAGAGAUUAUGUUAAAAUAAGUAUAAUUAAUAUCUUUUGAGAGGUUCAACCAGAUACAUUAGAACCAGUCAGAUGAUGAGUAGACACAGAAAACACACAAAAAUCAGUACUUUUUCCUAUAGACGUUAAUCACCAGGUAAGAGAUGGUAUUUGUAGUGGCAACAAAAAUCAUAAACAAUCCUGGUGGCUCAAUGGAUUAUGGAUACAGCACUGUCACUGUGGUGGCUCGGGUCACUGCAGUGGCAUGGAUUCUAUCCCUGGCCCUGGAACUUCUGUAUGCCAUGGGUAUGGACCCCCCUAAUAACAAAUAAUCCAGGUAUAAACCAAUUCUGGAAGACCUACAUAAACAGAGGCUUUAUAUUGUAUUAAAGAACAAAUAUGAGAGAUGUAUUUAUUAUGCUUCUUGCAAGAAGUCUCAGUAUUAUAAAAAUACUAUUAUAUUAUAUUUAUAGUUAUAAAAUACUGUUAGAUUUAUAUGAGUAGUUACAUGAGUUGCUCAGUAAACACCCCUCUGAAUUUAACUGGGUUAAGCUGGAUUUUUGUUAUGUGCAUCAAGAGCUGUACCUCAGAGGGAGUUCCCUGAUGGCCUAGUGAUUAAGGAUUCAGCAUUGUCACUGCUGUGCUCAAGUUCGAUCUCUGGCUCAGGAGCUUCUGCAUACUGUGUGUGGCAGGG
rnacentral:lncRNA from 1 species